GAUGAACGCUGGCGGCGUGCUUAACACAUGCAAGUCGAACGAGAAAGCACCUUCGGGUGUGAGUAGAGUGGCGAACGGGUGAGUAACACGUGAGCAACCUGCCUCUCACUUCGGAAUAACUCAGGGAAACCUGUGCUAAUACCGGAUACUCCGUACAUUCCGCAUGCUAUGUACGGGAAAGCCUUGUGCGGUGAGAGAUGGGCUCGCGGCCCAUUAGGUAGUUGGUGGGGUAACGGCCUACCAAGCCGACGAUGGGUAGCCGGGUUGAGAGACCGACCGGCCACAUUGGGACUGAGACACGGCCCAGACUCCUACGGGAGGCAGCAGUGGGGAAUUUUGCGCAAUGGGGGAAACCCUGACGCAGCAACGCCGCGUGCGGGAUGAAGGCCUUCGGGUUGUAAACCGCUUUCAGUAGGGAAGAAAAUGACGGUACCUACAGAAGAAGCUCCGGCUAACUACGUGCCAGCAGCCGCCGUAACAC
rnacentral:rRNA from 1 species